GACGAACGCUGGCGGCGUGCUUAACACAUGCAAGUCGAACGGAAAGGCCCUGCUUUUGUGGGGUGCUCGAGUGGCGAACGGGUGAGUAACACGUGAGUAACCUGCCCUUGACUUUGGGAUAACUUCAGGAAACUGGGGCUAAUACCGGAUAGGAGCUCCUGCUGCAUGGUGGGGGUUGGAAAGUUUCGGCGGGUGGGGAUGGACUCGCGGCUUAUCAGCUUGUUGGUGGGGUAGUGGCUUACCAAGGCUUUGACGGGUAGCCGGCCUGAGAGGGUGACCGGGCACAAUGGGAAUGGGGUUCGGCCCAGACGCCUACGGGGAGGAAGAGGUGGGGAUUUUGGACAAAGGGGGGGAGCCUGAAUGAGGAAAGCCGGCGGCGGGAAGAAGGGCUUCGGGGUUGAAACCGCCUUUGGCUGGGACGAAGGGGGAGUGACGGUAAUGGGUAAAGGAAGAACGGGUAACUACGUU
rnacentral:rRNA from 1 species